AAACGCGUGAGAGGAUAAAGCUAGGUGGUUGCUCAUUUGAAUUUAAAUCGAAUUUGAAUUCAAAUGCCAACCAACCCAUCCUUAUCCACUCUUGGCAUGAGAAGAGAAGGGUGUGGGAUCCCUUGUGCGUGGAGAGUUUACACGAGAAACUCUUUCUCGUGUAAAGCAAAUGGCGCACAAAUGGAUAAGGCUAGGUGGCGCAUGGAUUAGUUGCCCAUUCAAAUUCAAUCUUCAUUUGAAUUUGAAUGGCCAACCAACCAUCUUUGUCCACCCAAAUGGUGCACAAAUGGAG
rnacentral:lncRNA from 1 species